AGAGUUUGAUCCUGGCUCAGAUUGAACGCUAGCGGGAUGCCUUACACAUGCAAGUCGAACGGCAGCACGGACUUCGGUCUGGUGGCGAGUGGCGAACGGGUGAGUAAUGUAUCGGAACGUGCCCAGUAGCGGGGGAUAACUACGCGAAAGCGUAGCUAAUACCGCAUACGCCCUACGGGGGAAAGCAGGGGAUCGCAAGACCUUGCACUAUUGGAGCGGCCGAUAUCGGAUUAGCUAGUUGGUGGGGUAACGGCUCACCAAGGCGACGAUCCGUAGCUGGUUUGAGAGGACGACCAGCCACACUGGGACUGAGACACGGCCCAGACUCCUACGGGAGGCAGCAGUGGGGAAUUUUGGACAAUGGGGGAAACCCUGAUCCAGCCAUCCCGCGUGUGCGGUGAAGGCCUUCGGGUUGUAAAGCACUUUUGGCAGGAAAGAAACGUCAUGGGUUAAUACCCCGUGAAACUGACGGUACCUGCAGAAUAAGCACCGGCUAACUACGUGCCAGCAGCCGCGGUAAUACGUAGGGUGCAAGCGUUAAUCGGAAUUACUGGGCGUAAAGCGUGCGCAGGCGG
rnacentral:rRNA from 1 species